rnacentral:rRNA from 1 species
AACGAACGCUGGCGGCGUGCCUAACACAUGCAAGUCGAGCGCGAAAAGGGCAACCUGAGUAGAGCGGCGCACGGGUGCGUAACACGUGGGUAAUCUGCCUUAGAGUCGAGGAUAACCUUCCGAAAGGUUGGCUAAUACUCGGUAAGCUUACGGUGUCUUCGGACGCUGUGGGAAAAGUAGGCCUCUGUUUACAAGCUUACGCUCUGAGAUGAGCCCGCGGCCCAUCAGCUAGUUGGCGGUGUAACGGACCACCAAGGCAACGACGGGUAGCUGGUCUGAGAGGACGAUCAGCCACACUGGAACUGAGACACGGUCCAGACUCCUACGGGAGGCAGCAGUGGGGAAUUUUCCACAAUGGGCGAAAGCCUGAUGGAGCAACGCCGCGUGUGUGAUGAAGGUUUUCGGAUCGUAAAGCACUUUCGACUGGGACGAAAAACCUUUGGCUAACAUCCAGGGGCCUGACGGUACCAGGAGAAGAAGCACCGGCUAACUCUGUGCCAGCAGCCGCAGUAACAC